AUGACGCCACAGGCGCGCUGAAAUCUUCGCGCCCGUUAUCUUGAUAAUUAAUUCUUUUUUCUAAUAUUCUGCUAUUGAUGGUUGACUUUGAUAAUUUUGAGGUGUACUUUGAACACUUGCGCACAUCGACAUCAUAUUUUUGGCCAGAAUAUCUAACAAUUUAAUUUUUUUGUAACGCUGACGCGUGUAACGUUGUUUUCUAACCCGUCCGUUUGACGUCAACGUCACGGUACUGUUUCAAUGCCUGUCGCAGAGCUAUUGUUUUAAAAAUCCCCGGCACAAUUUAUUUAUUUAUUAUCAUUGAUAUUAUUCUGACCACGGGAAAGACCUUAUCGUUUCCUAAUAAUGGCAACAUUCGAGGGUGCAGCAUUCCAGAAACUAAGUGUUACGUGUUUUCAAUAAUAUAUACCUGCUUGUCAAAGUCUCCUAUGCAUUGUUGUUGUUUCAGAAAUGGGUGUUCUGACUGAAAUUGCAACGGCAGUUGACGAAAUGGAAUGGACACUGCCAACAGACGUGCAAGCCGAAGCGAUACCUUUGUUUCUGGGUGGUGGCGACGUGUUAAUGGCUGCAGAAACUGGUGGUGGAAAGACUGGUGCCUUUUGUUUACCUGUUUUACAAAUAGUAUGGGAAACUCUGAAAGACUUUGAAUCUGGGAAAGCAACUGCUUCGUCGACAUCACACUCGCAACCUUCAAAACAUUGGUCCCUAAGUUUAUUCGAUAGAGGCUCAGCAUUGGCUGUAAUUCUGCACGAUUUGAGAUGUCGAAGCUGAGAAUAAAAAGAAUGGCAUGGUUGUCGGGCCAAUAAAGGAGUUCAGGAGAAUAAGAAGUUCUUUUUCGAAGUUACGGUAACCGACGAAGGUUUAUGCCGUGUUGGCUGGUCUAUGUCUCAGGUUACCUUGGAUUUAGGUGAAGUCUGGCUAUUUCUCAAAGAAUGGGUCUGACUAUUUCUCUGGUCAGCAAAGUUCCUGAGAAAAUAUGGUACCAUGGCGAGUGGUGUCCUACUCGAGGAAGAAAUUGCCAAAACACAUCUCUCACUGAUCAGAGCAGUUGUUGCGUCUGGUACGAUGAACAGAUUUAUUUAGCUGAUAUCGAGGACCAUCUGAAUGUCACGAUCCAGCAAAUCGAUACUGACACAAAGGUUCCCCUAAAUGGUUUUGACGGGAAGGUCAUGUAUGGUCAAAAGAGAGUUAACAUGGGAACGAAUUAGCAGAAUCACGUUCAGCAAAUGGCUCCAUACGUGUCGCAAUUGUCAUUAUUGGAAUCGAAAUCGCAACUGUUGUACUUAAAGAGACACAUGGCUGCUGCAGCGAACUAAUACACACCACCGAUUCAAGGCUGCUGUUUUCCACAUUAAGAUGAAUUUGCUAAUCAGUAAAUUGCCAAUAUAUUAUUCGGCAUAUGAAUAGGCUCGGCGUAUUUAUAAAUAUCGUGUACUUUCAAAUAUGAUAUAUAAGAGGUUCGUUACAAAUGAUAUAAAAUCAUGUUUCUAAGCCUGGUCUAAUCUAGCCUCCCGUUUCACAGAAACAGAAAUCUGUCGAUUGCUGUGAUGCACCGUAAAAUAACAUUCUAGUUUAUGUAUAUAAGACAUACGGCAAGUGUUUAUUGUAUCAUUAUAAUCUUCAUAAUUGUACCAUCGCUAUUUCAGUUACACAAAUGUAUAAUACAGUGGCCUUGCAGUGUUUGGUUUUUUGUAA